rnacentral:tRNA from 1 species
AGGGGUGUAGCUUAGUGAUAGAAUGUAUGCUUAGCAUGCAAGAGCCCUGGGUUCAAUUCCCAGCAACUCUC